rnacentral:rRNA from 1 species
CGGGGUGAGUAAUGUCUGGGAAACUGCCUGAUGGAGGGGGAUAACUACUGGAAACAGUAGCUAAUACCGCAUAACGUCGCAAGACCAAAGAGGGGGACCUUCGGGCCUCUUGCCAUCGGAUGUGCCCAGAUGGGAUUAGCUAGUAGGUGGGGUAACGGCUCACCUAGGCGACGAUCCCUAGCUGGUCUGAGAGGAUGACCAGCCACACUGGAACUGAGACACGGUCCAG